GGUGUAGAGCUUCUUCCUACAUUGUGAACGACGGAUUAAUAACUAGCCACACUAGCAUGAUUCUCAAUGUCUCACGUGCUGCAGCCCUGAAGCCUAUAGAACAUAAUGACCACAUGACAGAGACAAAUACUACUACUACUACUACUACUACUACUACUACUACUACUACUACUACUACUACUACUAUGCUUCUUCUGUCAUCUCCUCAUCUGCACUGCUGCUGCUGCUGUUAAUAUUGUUCAGUUUACCUUUGAUUCUCCUAAAACUGGGAAAGGUACACGUCAAUUCUUUUCUUGCAAAACAUGGACCAGAACAUGUCACUCCUUCAGAUCCACAUCAUGUGUAUGAGGACAUGUUAUGAGAUAAGAUUCAUACGUGUGUAUGAAGAAAUGUCAUCCUGUCACCUUGACGACGACGACGACGACAAUGACAACAACAACAACAACCUGAUAAAAUAGAGUCAAAGAAAAGCCUCUGACGUCUUGUGACGUCUGUGCUCAUGUUGCAGCACUUGGCAGGACUUGCCCAGAGCUCCUAUUGCCUCUUCUUCUUCUUCUUCUUCUUCUUCUUCUUCUUCUUCUUCUUCUUCUUCUUCUUCUUCUU